rnacentral:rRNA from 1 species
GCAUAUCAAUAAGCGGAGGAAAAGAAACCAACAGGGAUUGCCCCAGUAACGGCGAAGUGAAGCGGCAAGAGCUCAAAUUUGAAAGCUGGCUCCUUCGGGGUCCGCAUUGUAAUUUGCAGAGGAUGCUUCGGGAGCGGUCCCCAUCUAAGUGCCCUGGAACGGGACGUCAUAGAGGGUGAGAAUCCCGUAUGGGAUGGGGUGUCCGCGCCCGUGUGAAGCUCCUUCGACGAGUCGAGUUGUUUGGGAAUGCAGCUCUAAAUGGGUGGUAAAUUUCAUCUAAAGCUAAAUAUUGGCCGGAGACCGAUAGCGCACAAGUAGAGUGAUCGAAAGAUGAAAAGCACUUUGAAAAGAGAGUUAAAAAGCACGUGAAAUUGUUGAAAGGGAAGCGCUUGCGACCAGACUCGCUCGCGGGGUUCAGCCGGCAUUCGUGCCGGUGUACUUCCCCGCGGGCGGGCCAGCGUCGGUUUGGGCGGUCGGUCAAAGGCCCUCGGAAGGUAACGCCCCCAGGGGCGUCUUAUAGCCGAGGGUGCAAUGCGACCUGCCUAGACCGAGGAACGCGCUUCGGCUCGGACGCUGGCAUAAUGGUCGUAAGCGACCCGUCUUGAAACACGGACCAAGGAGUCUAACAUCUACGCGAGUGUUCGGGUGUCAAACCCGUGCGCGAAGUGAAAGCGAACGGAGGUGGGAACCCUCACGGGUGCACCAUCGACCGAUCCUGAAGUCUUCGGAUGGAUUUGAGUAAGAGCGUAGCUGUUGGGACCCGAAAGAUGGUGAACUAUGCCUGAAUAGGGCGAAGCCAGAGGAAACUCUGGUGGAGGCUCGUAGCGGUUCUGACGUGCAAAUCGAUCGUCGAAUUUGGGUAUAGGGGGCGAAAGACUAAUCGAACCAUCUGGUAGCUGGGUCCUGC